UGGAAACAGAAAGCCCAUUUUAUAAGGUUGUGGGCAACAGCUUUUCUCUUUAACAUUUCAGUGUUCUUUCACAGUCACUGCACCCGUAAGAGCACCCAUUGCCCAGGUUAUAAACAAGCAUCACACUCCAAACCCACUCAUGGCAGCAAGAAAGGCCUUCAAUAAAUCCUCUUUUCUGUGCCUGAGAAUGUGGGAUACUUUAAUCGUAGUCAUGCUGCCAUCUAGUGGACAUAUCUUAGACCUGAGGGUCUUCUGUCUUCUGGAAAUUGUCAGGAAAGAAUUAGAAGUUUUAAGGUUCAUGUCUGACAUCUAUUUUUCUGUAGGAGACUAAUUUUUUGAAUACCUCUAUAGAUUUCUCUUAGUUUGGAUCAGAGUAUUUUUCACACUAUUCCUCCUGUCUUAGUAGAAAGAUAUUUUCAAAUGUGUCAGUCACACUCAGUGAGCUGAAAGAGAAUUUCUGUUUUCUGCUUUUGUUUAAAAAUGAGAAGAGUGUGACAAGAGAAAAUGUGUCCCCCUGGAAAGAAGUGCCAUCAGACCAGCAAUAGCCUGCCUCCUUUUUUUAGAUCCAUGCUGUAUAUCUUUGAGGGACGAGGCCUCAAACAGACACACUGACAGGUCACUUCCUGAGACAAUUAUGAACACCCCUGUGUGACAAACACACUCCUAUUUGAACAGCGACAUUUUACUUUAGUCCUUCACCAGCAAGUGCGACAGAGGAAAUGAAGGACAAAGCAAAGAAUCUGGCUUCUUUCUCGAAAGCACAUUAAGAUAUAUCAUAUGUGAGUUAAACACCCUAUAAACAAAGCCCAUACUAUGCAAAGCACGUGCAAACAAAAUACAAUUGCAAGAUUUCCCUCAUUUUACCCUUCUCUGUUGGUUAUCAGGUCCUCAAUGCUAUCUGAAAAGUCCCGGAGAGAAGGGUUGCCUCUGUCUAUUCAGUGGGCAGUUGACACGUAGGAUUCAUAAUUCUGAGCCCUUCAUUCACUGGAGGGCAUUCUACAGAAAAUAAAACACAGAAGCCUUAGAUAAUGAAAUGAAUCUUUCCAGGGAAGAGCAGGAGAGCAAGGCACCGGCACCGAGUCGCUCAUCCUCAUAUGACCCGCUUCUGGCUUCCUUUAACCCUUUUGCUUCCACGGGUAAAUUUCAAACACUGUUACUUGGUUUCUUAAUCUAUCUGCAUGUGCUCCAC
rnacentral:lncRNA from 1 species